rnacentral:rRNA from 1 species
UACGUAGGGUGCGAGCGUUGUCCGGAAUUAUUGGGCGUAAAGGGCUCGUAGGCGGUCUGUCGCGUCGGGAGUGAAAACUCAGGGCUUAACCCUGAGCCUGCUUCCGAUACGGGCAGACUAGAGGUAUGCAGGGGAGAACGGAAUUCCUGGUGUAGCGGUGGAAUGCGCAGAUAUCAGGAGGAACACCAGUAGCGAAGGCGGCACUCUGGGCCGGUACUGACGCUGAGGAGCGAAAGCGUGGGGAGCAAACAGG